GGAGUCAUUUUCAGAAAUCUGAAACUAUGUGUUCUGCAUGUAUUUGUGGAAAGAACAAUGACUUACCAACUGUCCAGAACAAAUUCCCAGACAGAAAACUCGGAAAGGCUGGCUACUGACUUCUUGUCCUUUAUUAAGAGUCACUUACGGGAACAGAAACCGCCCUCCCCCCCUUUUUUUUUAAAUAGGUGUUUUGUUUAGGUCUUCAUAGCCGUUGACUGACCAGUCAGUUCAGCCCAGUGCAGGGUCAGCACCUGGCAGGUCCAGUGAAACUCUAGAACCCACGUGCACGUUUACAAAUGGACCAGAAGAGAGCCACACUCCUCCUUAAGCUUCCUUUGCCCUGGUCCCCAAAAGCAGAAGGAUGCUGUGGGUCUGCAGCUCUAAUGUGGACCACUUGCAAUUCCCAAAGGAUGCUUUUGGGGGUGCUACAAAUUGUGAUUUAAAAGUACAUCUCUGCAGGAACCCCUCAGCUAAGAGAGAUCUGGGGCCCUGUGUAAUUGUUUACAUCUGCAAGUAUUUUCCUGUGUGAUGAAACUAAUGUAUGUGUUUGGGGGUAAAUGCAGUAGGAACUAUAAUCACCAACUUCUUAUUCAAAGUAUUUUUCUAGCUAUUUAACAAUUUUGGCAUUUUUGAAAUAAUUAAAUAGGGUGUGCGGAUUGCUAAUGCGUUCCUUCCCAGGGGUUCCUCCUUUUCAAAGGGGUCUGGCAGAUUUAGGUCAUAUGUUUUCUUUUUUUUGUGCUGAAAGGGAAAAUAAAGAAAAGAAAUAGAGAAUUCCCAGUAAAUCUUUUCUAAUUCUUCUACAUUAGUUCAGACCAGCAGAGGUUUGCUCUGCCUGCAGCUAUAGAAAAUCUAUUAGCGUCUUUAAGGACGAGAGUGAGGAAGGGAGGUCCCGCGGAUGGGGUCAGCGGAAGACAGCGCCCGCUGGGAGUGUCAGCUCUCAGCACCAUUAGCUGGACUGUCACAGAGGCACCGCUGGACGGGCCUGGCCUGCGGUACAGCUUGCCUUUAACACAAGAUCAGUGCUUCAUUUCCCCUGGAUUUCUUUGCUCUGAGAAAACUUCUUGGAGGUGAUACCUCCCAACUAAACUCAGACUCAAGCAGAGCCAUGUGGAGAAAAGGGCCCAGCCUUGAGCUCAGGCAGAAUCGCAUCCUGCUCCUGGCUCUGCCCCUUGCUAGCUGUGGCACUUUGGGCAAAUCUCGUAGCUUCUCUGAGCCUCACUUCCCUUAUUGUAACAUGGAAUCAUCAGCUGUCUCUGGUGCGGUUGUUGUGAGGGUUAAAUGAGAGCAUAGAGGACCUGGCCUGGAGGAGACGCUGGAUACACGCUGCUCUCCCCAGGAUUAUUAUUGGGGAGCUUGUCAAUCCAUCGGCAUAAGCAUACUGUCAACAGCAAAUCCACGGGCAUCUCUUGUAAUGAUGGCUGACCUUUCCACAGAGCUUUCACGUCCGAUCCCUCACUGAAUUCCCUCAAUGACUCCGUGAGGUAUGAGGCCUCCAGUUUGCCGUGGAAAAAGUUGAGACCCUGAUUGGUGAACUGGGCGCAAGAGGUCAUCCCGCCCACAAGGCCAGAGGGGAUAGACCCACGAUCCGCUAGAGGAUUUGCAGGGCCCAGUGCCGAAGGAAAAUGGGGCCCUGUUCCAAAAUAAUCGUGAAGAACUUCAAGACGGCGACAGCAGAGCGUUCAACCCAGGGCAGGGCCCUUCUGAGCGUCGGCCUGUGCGACUGCACGGGGCCGUCGCCCGUGAAGCUGGCUAGACUAAGUUCGCAGAGCCCACGUCCUCAUCUUGACCCCAAGCCCAUGGCCUCUCAGCCCGCUCCCUGGUGCUGUGGGGGAGCCUCGUCACCAUGGACCAGCAGAUCUCUGGGGGGAAGGGUCCAGGACCACCCCCAGCCCCUCAGGGCUUCUUUUCCAGCGCUCUGUGGAGAGGCCUGCUCCUGAGAGUUCUGAUCCCCAGGGGAGUUGACUGGACUCUGCCUGUUCAUGACCUUCCCCCAGAGCCUCAGUGACGCGUCCCCGGCAAUACCUUCCCUUCCUUCCUGAGGCCCUUCAAAUGUCUGAAGAGGCCUCUUCCAUCUCCCACUAGUGUUUCUUCUGCAGGCCACAUAGCUGCCUUUCUCUCUUAAAAUGCGGGGUCUGAGGCUGAAUACAGCUCUCUAGAUGUGGUCAAAGUGGAGGGGGAUUGUUUCCGACUCAUCCAGAUCACAUUGAUCACCCACCGUGCGCACAGCACUCUUCCAAGGAGCGCAGAAACGAACUCGAGAAACGGUCCUUAGCUGGAAGGCGGGGCGGGGAAGACCCGGGUGUGCGGUGGCCCCAGCGCGGGCGGCACGGAAAGCGAGCAGGGAACUGUGGACCAGGCGGGCGCAGAGGGCUUGGGAACGAGCGGGGGGAGCCGGGUCUCCAGGGCGGAGGAGCUCAUGGGGGCGGAGCCUUCCAGACAGCGAACACCCAGGGAGAAACGCAGAGCCGUAACUGGCUUGGGGCGUGGUUGAAGGAAGGGGGAGGGAUGUGGGGGGUGGCCUGUGUGAGCAUAGUAGAGGCUAGACCAGGCUGUGGAACCGCAACCCUAGAGCUGGCUGCGCAGCAGGACCCCCAGGGGCUGUGAAAGCUUUCCAGUGCCUGUGCUCUGUCUGAUCACUGAGAUCAACUCUCGGGGGCGCGCCAAGGUUUGGGAAGCUCCCCAGUGCCUCUAAUGAACAGCCACGGAGAGAAGCAGUGGUGCAGGGCAGGGGGCCUCAAGGUGUGGCCUCUGGACCAGCAGCGUCAGCGUCCUCUGGGAACCUGCUAGAAAUGCCAGCUCUCAGGCCCACCUCAGACCCGGCCAUCAGAGACUCUGGGAGUGGGCCCAGCAGGCCGGGUGUUAACAACC
ensembl:lncRNA